GCAAAUAGGUCAGGGGCAGAACAUCUGCUUUGCAUGCAGAAGGUCCCAGAUUCAAUUCCUGGCACCUCCA